ensembl:lncRNA
AAGACGCCUCCUGCUGGAGCGGCCGCCAGGGCCUGGGGCCGUCCCUGCUUCCGCAGCAGGGGGAGACGCACCUGUCGGGCUUCCCACAGCCUCUGCGGUCUGGAGAGUGGGUCUCAGGACUGCAGCCGCAGAGCUGGGGACCAGCUGCGGCCAGAUGGGGAGGGGCCCAGCCAGGGAGUCUUCACGGAAAGCAGAUCUAGAAAAGCACUAAAAUCCUUCACGGUGACGACUGCUCCUCGUGACUCACAGAAGCAUCACGAGACCGGCUGAAACCUGCAAAAAUGCACUAAACACGGAGGUGAGAGUCCACUGGAGACGUGGCCGAGCACGGUCGGCAUGAACAGGCCUAGGAUGCAGUCCAGGCCCUGUGAACUCCUUCUUCAAAUACAUAAGCCAGAAGGAAGAACACGCGUGCCCACAGCCCACGGGCAGUAAUACGUGCUGUCACCCGAGGGGGACAGACUGCGCGGGUGGCGCUGAACGCACCAGCUGCAAGCGCCUCCUUUGGUCGUGAAGGGGACGCACGCACGUUCCAGAAGGCCGGACGCCACAGGAAUGAGCCAAGCGGGAGCCCGGCGCUGCCCUGGAGCACCAGCUUGGCCCCGUGAGCAGAUGCGCCUCUCUGGGGUCGUCUCGGGGGCUCUGCUCCAGGUCAGCCCCUCGGCCAGAUAAGUGUGAACGUAUCCACCGUCCAGGACGGGGGAAGACGAGGAGGAGCUGGGAGUCAGGAGCCCCCAGUCAUGGCCUUCCAUUCUCUGUAAGUGGAAAUAAAUGCACGCUUCAGCGAGAGGCUCUGUGGGGCAGGGCUGGUCCUUCCCAGCUCACAGCCUCUGCAGGAGCUGGGCCCUGGGCACAGCCUUACCUUGGACGGGGCCGUGGGCUUCUGCGGUGCUUCUGACGCCAGGGUCUCGACCACGGGAAGGGUCCUGCCAGAGCUGAGACAGACAGGCUGGCCCUGAGCCCUGGGAUCCAAAGGCAGAGGGUGGGGGUGAGGGUGGGGGUGAGGUGCAGAAACACACCCACAGAACUGGGCCAGGCCAGGGGCGGGAGAGGGCGCUGAGUAGCUCAGCUCUGGCUGCAGAGUCUGGGGGCGCAGAGAACAUGCUGUUUCAUUUCUCAUUUGGCUGAAGCCUGUCUUCAGGGCUGCUUGGACAGCGUUAUGAACCUUAUCACAAUCCUUAUCACUGCCCUUCCUAUACUGAUAAAUAAGAUACACGUGGUUCUAUCAAUAAUGAAAGGUGCUGUUUCUACCUCAGGGAUAGUGUGAUAGCUGUGCUUCCAUAUUUGAUGGGUGUGCUUGCGUGCGUGGUCACUGUAGUCCUGUCUGAGUCUCUGCGAGCCCCCAGACUGCAGCCCGCCAGGCUCCUCUGUCCACGGGACUCUCCAGACAAGAACACUGGAGUGGGUUGCCAUGCCCUCCUCCAGGGAUCGUCCCGACCCAGGGAUCAAACCGCGUCUCCUACGUCUUCUGCACUGGCAGGCAGGGUCUUUACCACUAGCGCCACCUGUUUGAUGGGCAGCGGCUUGGUAUCUGCAGCAUGUUGAGGCAAAGUGGGUUGGGAGUUGUGUUACUGCUGUGUGGCACAGCGUCCUCUCCAGGGGACAUGGCAGGUAUCCUCCACCAGCAGAGCGCCUGGACACCGCCUCCUGCUUCGCUGCGGACAGUGGGUUUGGCGCCUCAGAUGCCGAACGCUUUGUCCCGGUCCUGCCCCUGGACUGACCGCCGGCCCUGGAAAGGUCCCUGGGUCUGCUCUUCACACGCAGGGUCUUCCUGGCUGAGUGUGCUUGUCCCCCGCCCCGCUGGCCCGCCCUCCACACCGAGGUUUUCCGCUGAAGCCUCCUGACUCGCUUCUGCUGCCUGUCUCUGAGCGCGGCUCUCUGGAAGGCGUCUCCCACCCCGGGUGGGGCUGGGCCUCCCACAUCCUGCUGUGACUCUCAGUUUUCUUGUCUUCUCAUCUGCAGAAUGACGCUCGUCUCCUGCUUUACACUCUUUCCCUGAGGUCCCCUGAGACCCUCACCCUGCUAGGGGUUGGCCAGACCGCCGACGGCCCACCCCGAGCCAUCAAGAGCCUCCCACACGACUGUGUCAGCCUCAGAGCAGGGGGAUGCUAGGCACCUCUGCGGAGACCGAGGCUCAUCCACCUCAGGAACCUGCCUUGGUCGGGGGGCCGGGCCUGUGCCAGGAGCAGGCUGGGCACAGAGCAGGGAUGCCCACUGCUCGACAUCUACUCUGCCCACCUCUUUAUGUUAAAAUAAAACUCAGAUACAGAAAACCACACCAGGAAGACACGCGGGUGAGUGAGAGUCAACUGGGCAUCCUUAGAACAAUCACCCCAGUCAAGGUAGGACUCAGCCGGCU